UACAGAGGUGGCAAGCGUUGUUCGGAAUUACUGGGCGUAAAGGGCGCGUAGGCGGCCUACUAAGUCAGACGUGAAAUCCCCCGGCUUAACCUGGGAACUGCGUCUGAUACUGGAAGGCUUGAGGAUGGGAGAGGGAUGUAGAAUUCCAGGUGUAGCGGUGAAAUGCGUAGAUAUCUGGAGGAAUACCGGUGGCGAAGGCGACCACCUGGACUGAUACUGACACUGAGGUGCGAAAGCGUGGGGAGCAAACAGG
rnacentral:rRNA from 1 species